rnacentral:rRNA from 1 species
AGAGUUUGAUCAUGGCUCAGAUUGAACGCUGGCGGCGUGCUUAACACAUGCAGGUCGAGCGGUAACAGGCGUAGCAAUACGUGCUGACGAGCGGCGAACGGGUGCGUAAUACAUGGGAAUCUGCCUUUUAGUGGGGAAUAACCCGGCGAAAGCCGGGCUAAUGCCGCAUAAGAUCUUCGGAUGAAAGCGGGGGAUCGUAAGACCUCGCGCUGAUAGAUGAGCCCAUGCCGGAUUAGCUAGUUGGUGAGGUAACGGCUCACCAAGGCGACGAUCCGUAGCUGGUCUGAGAGGACGGCCAGCCACACUGGGACUGAGACACGGCCCAGACUCCUACGGGAGGCAGCAGUGGGGAAUAUUGGACAAUGGGGGAAACCCUGAUCCAGCGACGCCGCGUGUGUGAAGAAGGCCUGCGGGUUGUAAAGCACUUUCGGUGGGAACGAAAUAUGCCGGGCUAAUACCCCGGUAGGCUGACGUACUCAAGAAGAGCCCC